rnacentral:lncRNA from 1 species
AGAACAGCAUCAGGGCACAUUGAGGCUCAGAAAUUUAUAUUCCAAGAAGAGGUGCACAGGAACAGAGCAGAUCCAAAGCAGACAACCACCUGGAAGCAGUCAUAACAACAGCAAUAGCAAAUCAAUGCUGAUAAAAGAAAUCAAGUACAGAGAGUUUUAAGGACAUUGUCCAAAGUUGUACAAGACUCCAACACUAAGCAUUCACCUGGAGAUAACCUACAGAGAUACUCUGUGUUACCCACAACUAGUCUGUUGACUAAGUUGGUGAAUAUAUUUGGGAAAAGCCCAUGUGGAAGAAUGGAAGCCUGCAUUAUCUUUCUCAGAGACAGACAGGAAGGUGACUCUAUGGAAGACAUCAGCGAUAAACUAGGAAGGAGUGACACGGAUGCUGCUGAGAGAAAACACCAUGGAUGGAAGGGGCCCACAUCAGACGUCAAACCUGCUGGUGCCUUGAUCUUGAACUUCCUGGCUUUGAGAACUGUGACAAAUACAUUUCUGUCCUUUAUAAAUUACCCAGUCUUGGGUAUUUUGUUACAGCAGCACAAAUGGACUAAGACUACCUAAUUCGUGAAGACAUGGGAAGAUUUAUUUUUGUUUUCAGCUGUGCACUACAAGGUGCUUCUAUCGCUUUACCUCUCAGUACUGUAAGCCUAUAGAAAUCAAAGAUUGUCUUUCCCUGUUACAUGUAUUUUAUGAAAACUCCACGGGUUAUUCUGAUGUACAAUCUGAUUGAAGAACUAGUGUGCUAGGAAUGUAUCCCCACAAUAUUCCUGAGAGAAGGAGAGCAUGUGGCUAGUGCUUGUCCAGCAGAAGGGUUCGUGUGUUCACAGCAGGCAGUGCUAAUUGACUGUGGGUUUUCUCCAGAUUAGUCUUUAGCGAUCAUCUCUAGAAGUUACCAUAUUGGCACAAAAGUUGGAACUCAUUUGUCAUCCUUGGCCUAAAAUGUCCUCUAUUUGCACAGCAAUUACAAUCUGUAACUUCAGUUGGACAAAUCUAUUCCAUGUGUUGCUAUAAAGUAAUAUCAAGUGAUAUCACAGUAUUUCAACAAGUUCAUUUUUCAAUGAAUAAAAAUAAUUGAAACUGAUGCUUUUUUCUUUUUCUAAAAUAAUUUUCCUUUUAUUGUCAGUAAUUCAGGCUCCCACUCAGAAAAUCCUUUGUGAGUCAAAUUUGAUAAUACUUCUUUUUUAGUUUCUCUACCUAAAGAGAAUAAUAUUGUCUAGUGAUUAAGCACAUAAACUCUUGUCAUAGUGUCUGAAUUCAAGCCCUAACUCUCCCACUUACUCUGUGACCUUAGAAAGUUACAGAACUUUUCUGUCACCUCAGUUUUCCUUUAGUAAAUAAGUAUGUAAGAGUUGUGAAAAAUAAAUGUAUGAGAAAAAUUAAUAAUACAUUAUUAUUAAUAAUAAUAUGGGAGACUCACAACUGUUGUGGGCUUAGUAGAAUUUACCUAGUUGUUAUUUGUAGCAGAAUUUAUAACUAUUGUUUUGUAUUUCCUUUUCUCAAAGUGAUCUUUUCUGGCAGUAGAAACUUCAGAAAUUUCUUUUUGGUUUUAGAUACAAGUUUUUAAGCACUUUGGGAGUUGUUUAUCACUGUUUAAAUAUGUGUGCAGCUCUGUCUAUGAAAAGAUGAAUAUUACUUGGUUUUGAAACCUAGACUAUCUCUGGAUGGUUUUACUUUUAUUCAUCCCUCUGUUCUUUAUCCAUCCACUCAUCCAAUAGAUAUUUAAUGAGUGCCUUCCACAGGCUUUGCACUGGUGAAAUAAAGAUAAACAAGACACAUUAUCUGCUUUUGAUGAUCUCUAUGGUGGGACCAGUGAGAGACAGAGAGGUAAACGGGCAAUUACAAUACAGGCAUAACUCACAGAUACUGCAAGUUCAGUUCCAGACCAGUGCAAUAAAGCAAGUAUCUCAAUGAAAGAAGCUGCACAAAUUUUUCAUUUCCCAGAGCAUAUAAAAGUAAUGUUUACAUUAUACUGUAGUCUAUUAAGUGUGCAGUAGCAUCAUGUCUAAAAACAAUAUACAUAUUCUUUAAUUAAAAAAUGCUUUCUUGCUAAAAAUUGCUAACGAUCAUCUGAGCCUUCAGUAAGUAGUAGUCUUUGCUGGUGGAGGGCCUUGUCUUGAUGUUGAAGCCUGCUGACUGAUCAAGAUGGCGGCUGCUGACGUUUGGGGUGGUGGUGGCAAUUCCUUAAAAUAAGACAACAAUAAAGUUUGCCGCAUCAACUGACUCUUCCUUUUACAAAAAAAUGUCCAUGUAGCCUGCAAUGCUGUUUGAUAGUAUUUACCUACAGUGGAGCUUCUUUCAAAAUUGAAGUCACCCUCUGAAAUCCUGCUGAUGCUUUAUCAACUAAGUUUAUGUAAUAGUCUACACUCUUUGUUGUCAUUUCAGCAACGUCAUUUCAGCAUUUUCAGCAUCUUUACGAGAAGUAGAUUCUAGCUCAAGAAACCACUUUCUUUGCUCACCCAUAAAAACUAAUUCUUUAUCCUUUCAAGUUUAUCAUGAAUUUGCAGCAAUUCAGUCACAUUUUUAGGCUCUACUUUGAAAUAUAAUUCUCUUGCUAUUUCUACCACAUCUGCAGUUGCUUCCUCCACUGAAGUCUCAAACUUCUCAGUCAUCCAUGAGGGCUGGAAUCAACUUCUUCAAAACUCAUGUUCAUGUUGGUACUUUUACCUCCUCCCAUGAAUCAUGAAUGCUUUUAAUGGUAUACAGAAAGGUAAAUAUUUUCCAAAAGAUUUUAAAUUUACUUUGCCCAGAGAAAUCACUGUCUAUGGCAGCUGUCACUUUACAAAUUUUAUUUUUUAAUCAGUAAGACUCAAACGUUGAAAUAACUCCUUGAUCCAUCAGCUGUAGAAUGGAUGUCAUGUUAGCAGGCAUGAAAACUACAUUAAUCUCCUUGCACAUGUCCAUCAGAGCUCGCAGGUGACUAGGUGCAUUGUUAAUGAGCAGUAAUAUUUUGAAAGGAAUCUUUUUUUCUGAGCAGUAGGUCUCGACCAUGGCUUAAAAUAUUCAGUAAACCAUGCUUUAAGCAGAUGUGCUGCCAUUCAGGCUUUGUUGUUCCAUUUAUAGAGUACAGGCAGAGUAUAUUUAUCAUAAUUUUUAAUAGCCUGAAUGUUUUAAGGAUUUUUGGAAUGAUAAAUGAGCACUGGCUUCAACUUAAAGUCAUCAGAUGCACUAGUCCUUAACAAGAGAGUCAGCCUGUCCUCUGAAGCUUUGAAACCAGGCAUGACUUCUCCUCUUUAUCCAUGAAAGUCCUAUCUGGCAUCUUCUUCCAAUAGAAGACUGUUUUGUCUACAUUGAAAAUCUGUUGUAUAGCGGGCCACCUUCCUCGAUUAUCUUAGUCAGAUCUUCUGGAUAAGUUGCUGAAACUUGUACACCAGCACUUGCUGCUUCAUUCUGCACUUCUAUGUUCUAGAGACAGCUUCUUUCCUUAAACUUCAUGAACCAACCUCUGCUAAUUUCCUCACCUCUCUCAGCUUUCAUAGACUUGAAGAGAGUUUGAGCCUUGCUCUGGAUUAGGCUUUGGCUUAAGGCUUAGGCUUUGUGGCUGGUUUAAUCUUAGGCUUUGUGGCUGAUUUGAUCUUCUCUCCAGACCACUCAAACUUUCUCCCUAUCAACAAUAAGGCUGCUUUACUUUCUUAUCAUCCAAGUAGUCACUUUUAAGUUCCUUCAAAUCUUUUACUGUCAACUUAAAGCUGGGCUAACUCUUUCAUGUAAGAGGCCUAUCUCAGCUUUCAACAUGCUAAGCUUAAUCAUAGAAAUGCUUUUGACUGGAAGUGAGAAAUGUGUGACUCUUCCUUUCACUUGAACACUUAGAGGCCAUCGUUGUGUUAUUAAGUAACCUCGUUUCAAUAUUGUUGUGGCUCAGAGAAUAGGGAGGCCUAAGGAGAGGGAGAAAGAUGGAAAAAAGGCAAGUCGUUGGAGGUAUCAGAACACACACAACAUGUAUUGAUU